UACGUAGGGAGCAAGCGUUGUCCGGAAUCAUUGGGCGUAAAGCGCGCGUAGGUGGCUUCGUAAGUCCGUUGUGAAAGUCAAAGGCUCAACCUUUGAAAGCCGAUGGAUACUGCGGAGCUAGAGUACGGAAGAGGCGAGUGGAAUUCCCGGUGUAGCGGUGAAAUGCGCAGAUAUCGGGAGAACACCUAUGGCGAAGGCAGCUCGCUGGGACGGUACUGACGCUGAAACACGAAAGCGUGGGUAGCAAACAGG
rnacentral:rRNA from 1 species